AAUGUAACAAAAUGUGGAAAAAAGAAGGGGUCUGAAUACUUUCCGAAUGCACUGUACAUUUCAACCAAGAGCAACAGCUCUAACAGCUAUGUGGUCUACUUUCCAAACCACAACAUUAAACAACCAAUCUUUUUCUUUUUUCUGUUAACCCGGCGGUCUCUUAGUGUGAGGGAGGGAAAGUUACUUGCACCUCUACGUUUUUAGGCUUCAUGGUAUGGUGGUUGUGUACAAAUGGAAGCAAACUUUGUGCAGGAAUACUGAGGGGUAAUAUUAUAUGAGUGUGUCAGACCUGAUUCCAUGUAGCACUCAUUAUUUACAUUGCAAAUGAGCAGCAGGCGCAGUGGAUGGAUGGACCCAGAGAGAGAAGUGAAGUAUUAACCCAGAACUAUUUCAAUAUCUUUCCUGAGGAAACCUUUGCUCUCAACCGGUGCUGUCCCCUUAAAGGGCUAUCCACAAAAUGUACACAAAUUAGUUUCCUGAUACACCACAAGAACAUAGUCAAUAACACACACAUAAAUUAUAAGCAUAACUGAUGGUCCACUACUUCCUUCUGUAAAAGAUGUAUCCAGUGUAGCGUAAACCAAAUGUGAAACCAAUCAACACUGUGGCACUCCCCAGGUCUUGAUGUACCAUAUGAGAGACAAUGCAAUACAGUCCUCUGACCCUGGCUAUGAAGGGUCUUCACUGCAAUCUCCAUCGUGGCCAGCAUCAAGGAUGCUCCUCUUGCCUCCUGUCUCUACCUUCAACAGAACACCCCAACCUGACUGUCAUCCACUAAGUAUAUGUGGGAGAGUCCAGGGUGUCCAGAGAGUCAUGGGUGAAGUCCUCCUCAGCAGAGAGCCGAGGGCUGCUAUAGCUGGUGCAGUGAGGCUGUGCUCGGGUAUGCCCACUGCCAAAAUCGCUGUCCAGCCACAGGCCUAAGUAGCCAUGCUGACCACCCGUGCUCUGAAACCCACACAGACAAAUUACAUAAGUGACAUUCCUUGGGUCAAGAAUAACAACAGUUGAAUUUUGCUCAAUUUGUAAAUUGGGAGGUGCCGGAACAAAAAGUGAGCCCUAUGGGGCUCUUGAAAAAGAAAAUCACCUUUUAUAAUAAAGAAUUGCAUGCAUUAUCAUCGCUUUUGUGUACUGGCAUAGAGCAGUAAAGUAGAGGCGCUUGCAGAAGUUGCCCAUAGGAAAACACUUUUGUAGCCUGGGUUCCGGAAAAAAUGUGGCAUCAAUUCUACAUACUUUUAUUUGACUGGAGACUUUAGCAGAAUACGUUUUAAUACCUCUGAAAUGAUCGAAAUGACAGGCUACUUUGACAGUGAGAUCAAUAAAACGACCAUGUCUUGAAUCCAUCAAUAGCAUAGGUGUGUGGAGACAUAUUGUACAAUAUGAGGAGGGAUUUUUUUCACUGACUCACCCAAGGAUGCGCAACUCACUCACCGGUGAAGGCCGAAGUGCUACUGCCAAAACCUUGUCGAUCUCUCUCUUGUUUUACUUUUACUUUACUUUUUUUUACUUUAGUUUAUUUAGCAAAUAUUUUCUUAACUCAAUUUUUUAAACUGCAUUGUUGGUUAAGGGCU